rnacentral:rRNA from 1 species
CCCUUAGAUGUUCUGGGCCGCACACGCGCUACACUGAAGGAGGCAGCGUGUACUCCUGGAUCGAAAGAUUUGGGUAACCCGCGAAUCUCCUUCGUGCUAGGGAUUGAGGUUUGCAAUUAUCCUUCAUGAACGAGGAAUUCCCAGUAAGUGCAAGUCAUAAGCUUGCGCUGACUACGUCCCUGCCCUUUGUAUACACCGCCCGUCGCUACUACCGAUUGAAUGAUUUAGUGAGGACUUCGGACUGGGACCGAUGCGGCUUUCGGGCUGCGUCGGUAUUCUGGAAAGAUGUCCAAACUGUAUCAUUUAGAGGAAGUAAAAGUCGUAACA